UCUACCAAAUCAUAUGAGAGUGAAUUCAUUUGUUCAUGUUAGGUUCAUUUUAUGUACAGGCAUAAAAAAUCAGAGGAUAUAUGUAGGAUAUAAAUCACGAACACAUGCAUUUCCACCUCUAACCAAAAUGUGACCGCGAUUACGCUCAUUACACGCAUAAAUUUUACUGCAUAUUUGAGAUGUGAUAUAUUCUCUCCUAUUGAUCAAAAGGACCCAUGCAUCCCGAUGCAUGUCCAUCCACUUGCUAUGAAGUGGAGACAAAGUUGAAAUUGUCCAAAUGUCCCCCUUUCUUAGUCCCAGUCUGCAGAACCCGGAAGUAGCAUUUUUGACUGUAAACACUCCACUUCCGGGAUAUCCAAUUGUAAACAUAGCCGCAGAUUUGCACCCGAGCACACAUGUAGGAGCACACAACCUUUCCUUACACAUGUAGCCCACUCUCAGACAUCCAUAUCUAGUGGCAUGAAUCGUUUCAUUUAAUUCUGAUGAUGUUUAGUGGAUGAAACAGGGCUUCACACACUCUGAGUCCGUGGAAGAAAUCCUGCAUGUGCAUUGCUGAAGGGGUUAAAAUGGUGCGCUGGCACUAUCUGCUGGAUCACUGUGGAAUGGUGAAAUUAAGGGCCCUGGUGAUUGACUGACUACAUAGAAAAGGUUGCUAUAUGUUGUUUUGGUGCCAUAGACACACAGUCAAAAAACGUGUUUUUAAUGGAAGUCUAUUGUCCAGAUUUCGGACAAACAAGGAUGGAUGGAGCUAUUUGGGGUCAGUAGAGUUCUAUAGGCAACACAUUAUUUUCAAAUCUUUUUUUUUUUUUUAAUUUGUAGAAAAAUAAUAAUUUUGGCCAAAUUUGAUGCCUCAAUCUAUAAAAAUGUGACUAUCAACUCAAAAUAAUGAAGAUAAAAAUGAUGAAUUUCCUCAAAAUGGACGAAGUAGGAUCUGAGGGUUAAGGGAUUUAUUUAUCUGUUUAUGUGUUACUGUCUGACAUUAUUUACCUUUCCACAGACCCAGAAAUAUUUGAUGUUGAAUGGUAAAAAAGAGAAAACAUAAAAGUAAGAAAGCUAGGACCAAAAGUGUAACUUUGAGCUAUGUUGCGUUUCUUCCUGAACUAAAGAACUGAAAAGAUAAUGAAUUUCUAAAGUAGUUGCUGAUGCUUUAAUCCGAUAUAGAAAAUUGCUUUAUUUGUAUCCUGAUUAAGGAUGUUGCCCCAUCUAAACAAAACAUUUCUGGAUAAAGUAAUAUAAGCUACUUUUUUUAUGUUACUAAGGCUUUUAGAAAAUCAAAUUAGACUUUCUUUCUAAUUUGAUUACAUAAUACAGCUCUACACAGCAUUUAAUUUGUGAACCAAAGACUACAUUUUCUUAGAUGUAAAUGAAUCAUUCAUCUACGUGUUUAUAUUUGAAAAGAACUGUGAAAGCUUUCCUCAGAUUUUCAUGUCAUUUUCAUCUUUAAAGUUCCUGUAAUGUGAAAUAAAAAAUUUGUGUCUAAACACUCUAGAUAUGUUGGAAUAAGGUUGCUGUAAACGCGUGAAAACACUGAGAUCUAUGUGUGACUGAAUUCUGAAUUUAAACCGGUAGAAAUUUGUUCACCUCUUUCAUGGCUUGAUUUAGUUGAGCGGGUCAAAAAUCUUAGCCCAGGUCAUCACCAGUCUUGAUGGGGAAUUACCCCACUCUCCCUGAUGCUGUAAUGAUGUAAAUUCACAGAGCAGUUCAUCUGAGUGCAGUCUGAUGUUACCCGAUGUCACUGCCUUCAUCCAUAGUUAACAUCCAGCUACAUACUGUGUUUUUGUGAGGAAAAUUUCCCAAAUCUAUCAGCUAUGGUAGCCUACGGGUCAUUAAAAGAAUCAUAACAGAGAGAUUUUUGCCAAAAAACAGUAAAUUUAAUCCUCAACUUCACUCAGAAAAAUGAAUCAUGGCAUAGUUUAUUUUUAAGUAUUUACAUCUAUUUGAUUAAAUGAUUAAAUUUUUGGAAUUUAUUUAUUCAAAUUCUUUAAAAUCAGCAUAAAUCUAUUAAUUGCAAAAACAAAUUUAAUCAGUUAAAAACAUAUGAAUAUAGUUUAAAUAUGAUGAGCUGUGGAUCAAACAUGAUUCAUUAAGUUAAAAUUUGAGAUUGGUUUACAUCAGGUUUACAUAAAUCUGUCAUUGUUUAUUCAAAACACAUUGGGUUUAUUGGUAUUAUUACAUAAAUCUCAUUUUUAGUUGUUUCAUUUACAUUUGAGUGACAAAUAUGCAGCACAUAAAGUUUAUUGGCCUGUUUAUGUUAAAUCUAAGUAAUUCAAAUGGAUGGAAAUUUUAUAUGCAAUUGAAAUACAUAAAUCUUAAGAAUUAGGCCUAAAUAUAUCUGUGAAUGUUCGGUCUCUCUCUGCUCUGGCACAGAGUCAGGCAGCUGCGCUGAUCAGAAGCUCUGUUUUUAAUUUUUGAGAGGGAUCAAAUUUCUCGUGAGUUGGUGUGGCUUCAGCUCAUUGAACUGAUAUGCCCACACCAACCUAGAGCAGAUAUUACUGCCUUAUUUUUUGAUGGUUUUGAAGCUUAAUUUUACAAACUAAAAGAUAUUUUUCAUAUCUGUAAUUUGCCUAAAGGUUCAGAACACAGUGGCCUGUCAUACAGCAGAAGUAAAAUAAAGAUUUUUUUAAAUCACUUUACAGGGACUUUAAGCCAUGACCACAAGUUCAGUGUCUGGCUCUAAGUUAUUUAUACUUUAUAUAAAUUAUAAUUUUACAGUAAAUGAUACAUUAGAAUUUGUAAUGUUUGCAGAUGGCACUCAUUAAUUUUGUUCUGGAGGGGACAUUAAUACAUUGUUGAAAGCAGUAGAAAUAGAACUGAUAAAAUUAAAUACAUUGUUUUUAAUUAGCUAUCAAUGAAAGUAGAACAAAAAAUAUGUUGUUUGAUGUAAAACUGAAGAGAACAAAUAGAAAUGGAAAGAGCUGAUGAAAGUAAGUUUUUGGGAGUAUUUGUAAAUGAUUAACUUUAUUGGAAGUCCUACAUAAAACAUGUAAACCAGAAAUUUCCAAGUAUAACCUGCAAAGUGAGAUAAAAUGUUAAAUACAGAUGUUUAUAAGUUUAUGGAGUGACGUUAUGAGACAUAUGAAAAUGUGUGCUGAGCUUCUGGUUAUUCUGGAUGACUUCAGGAUAGGCUAAAAUAAGCCAGUAAGUGCUCAAAGCCAGCUUCAGUCUAUCCUGACACAUUUUAUGUAAAAUGAUUUAAUUUUGACACUUGUUUUUUGUCAACAUUUGUGCCAGAAAUAAAACAAUCAUGCACAAUAUCGUGCUUUACUGUGAGUGAAUCAAAUGUGAAAGUAAAACUAGCUUGGCUGAAACUUUCCUUUGUUUCGUGCAUAUCUAUUCUAGACAGAGUGGUUUUACAGGUAGUGGAAUUUGCCCUCCUCGUGUAUAGGGUUAGGUCCUGUCAUUGUUGCACCUGUCUGGAGAGUCAACCUGCUGCUGAACAGAGAUGGUAGGUAAACUUGUGUUUCUGAGUCUCUGGGUCUUUCACCUGUCCUGUUGUUUAUUCAUCCCUUACUAUACGUGUUUAUCACAGUUUUAUAUUGCUGUAUAUAUUUGUUCACUGGUCUCUAGCUCCUGUUCUUUCUCUUGGUCUUCUUCCCUCUCUCUGUGUGUCUAGCAACAACCUACCUUGUGUUUAUCAUUUCAACAGUUUGUGUUAGUCUGUCUCUGCCAAAGAAAGCAUGAUGCUGUUUUUCUUUCAGAUAAACAUAAAGGACCUUGUAAACUAUUAUCAACACUGUAUGUACAUUAUUUAAACAUUGAGGGUGGUGGCACACAAUACCAUAAAAAAAAACAGAUUUAUAGACUCAAUUACCUACAUACUAAUGAAUUUCUGUAAAAAUUUCAGACAAAUAUAUCCACUUCUUUUCAAUCUGCUUUGGUCUGGGAUGGAGUACGGCUCUCUACAGCCCCUUCCGCCCUGUAAGCGCGCCAGCUGUUGUGGGUGCCGGUUUCACCUUACUGUUUGAGUUUGCAAGCCUGAUUUUAGACAAAGAACCCCACACUAAGAAAUGUAAAGGCGUUCCCUAUGACAGAGGAGAUGUUUGCUUCGGAUUUCUUUCUGCCCUUCUUGUCGCCAUCCUGAACUUGAAAUCAUAUCACGCUUGCUUUCUGUCUCCUGGAUGUGGACUUAUAAUGUUUUCCUUCUGUGGAGCCAUACGGAAGUGCAGAUCUCUAAGGAAGCUGAGAGAGAGACGGCGUCCUUGGUGGUAGAUGGAGUCUGCAACCACACUGGUGUUGACCAAGGAGGUCAAAGACAAGAGUGUUUCAUGAAGUUGUAUUUUGACUUGGAGAUGCAUAAAUCUAUCCGGAAACAGGGAUGUAGAGUGAGGGGUUGAAUAAUUUACUGAACAAAUAGUACAGAGAAACAAUACUGUUGUUAAAGCUACUGUGAGAAGUUUUAAGUUUGUGAGAAACCGACUGAAAUGAAAUGAAUACUGAUGUCUCCUUGUCAUCAGCUGAAGCAACAAAUAUUUCUUGGCUAUUUUUCAUGCUCGUAAUCACUGACAUGGAGAAGGGGCAAUAAAAAUGACUUAUAGUAUUCUGUAUGAACAUGUUUAGUUGACAUUUUUCACAGCAAAGAUGUAAGUUAUAUGUGUACCUGCUGAAAACAACAGAAUGGGAUUUUCAGCAGAGACCAUCCUUAAGCUUUAACAGGACAAGAAAGCAGGCAGCAGGAAUUGAAGGUACUAUCUUGAUCAUGGGGGCGCUAAAAGUCAGUAUAAACUGCAAUUUCAAAAUCAAAAAUCCACUACCUCAAAAUAUUAGACUAUCAAAAAAAGCAGUCCAAAAAUAGGAUUUUUUUCUACAGAAAUGUUGACUUUUUGGAAAAUCAUGCUCAUUUAUGCACUUAUUACUUGAUUGGAGCUCCUUUUACACGUAUUUCUACAUCUAUGUGACAUGGCGUGGAGUCAUGACUCUGGAUUUGAUAAAGCACAGUGGACCAGCAGCAGCAGAUGACAUGACACCCUAAACCACCACUGACUGUAGAAACUGAAAACACUGGAAUUCAAGCACUUUGGACUCUGCUCCUCUUCCUCCAGACUCUGGGACCUUGAUUUACAAAUGAAAUUCAGAAUUUACUUUGAUCUUAAAACAGGACUUUGGACUGUACAACAGUACAGAAGCUUCCCAUGGAUUUAAGUACACCAACAACUAAAUCCCACACUGUAAUGAUUCAGUCAUUACAAGGCUAUUUAUUGACACAAUUAUUGAUAGGUUAGAAAAAAUAUCUGUUAAAUGCAGCUGCUCAGAGGCUGACACAUGAGAUUGACGGUACCAUGCUGAAGUGUUUUACAAAUUUUUUGUUUGUGUGUGUUAACUGGAUAAGAUGGUAUUGUUAAAUAAGGUACUGAUAACUGAGGAGUAAAUGUGCAGCAUUUCCUUCCUGGAAGACUGGUACAUACUGAAUCUAGCUGAUCAUAGCUGAGUCAAUGCACCCCCUCUGGUCUGAGAAUGAGCUCUUAACCUUGAAGUACAGAAUACUCAAGAAUAGGACAAAAAGAGACAUCACAGUCUUUGUACCAUAGAGCUGAUGAAUGAGCUUUGAUGGUUCAGUUUGAAUGUGGCACUCUGCACUUUAUUGAAAAUGCUGACAGUCCUCUCAUAGAAUCAUGCAGUGCUUUAAUGAUGCAUUUAAAUGAUGUAAUUUAUUGAUUUGAUGUUUUGUUAUUAUGUGGUAACCAGUGUGGAAGUUCAUGUCUUGUAUUUGUGUUUUUUAUGCUCUUAGUGCAAGACAAAUUCCCCAAAGGGG